UGUGAUAAAAUGCUCUGACCAGAAACACCU
rnacentral:piRNA from 2 species